rnacentral:rRNA from 1 species
UACGGAGGAUGCAAGCGUUAUCCGGAUUCAUUGGGUUUAAAGGGUGCGUAGGCGGAAUUGUAAGUCAGUGGUGAAAUCCUACAGCUUAACUGUGGAACUGCCAUUGAUACUGCUAUUCUUGAAUGCGGUUGAGGUAGGCGGAAUGUGUAAUGUAGCGGUGAAAUGCGUAGAUAUUACACAGAACACCGAUUGCGAAGGUAGCUUACUAAGCCGUGAUUGACGCUGAGGCACGAAAGCGUGGGGAUCAAACAGG